GUUUCUAAUCUCUCUUCACCUGCUGAUAGGUCAUUUCCUGAAUCUAUGACAAGACUUGAGAGACCACCAAAGCCCAAGAGGUCUUGUUUCACAAGAGAAUCUUCAGGUGUUUUAGGCCUUUAUGACACAUCCCAAGCCCUUCAGAGAGCCACAAGAAUGGCCCAGAGGAAAUUCUAAACCACUAUGACUCAUGGGUCACCUGGAGGUGCAGGCCAUCGCUAUGUUAAACCUAUGAGGUGAUGAUAAACCACACAACUGGAAACCAGAAUGGAAGAACAGAAGCUGGAUCCUUGACAGAAUUAUUGAUGGGAUAGUCCAUCAUCUGGGGCUAAGACCACCUCCAGAUUUCUUGUUUGGUGAAAAUUCCUGAUUGUUUACAUUUGUUUAUUUUGAGCAGUCUCUUACUUGUAGCUAAAAGCAUUUCUAAUAGAUAUUCAAAUUAUCUGCACAGCAAGGGGCAGCCAGAGCUCCAGGGGUUCCAACCUAAAAUAAUCUAUGGAACCGCAGAUAAGUGUCUUAGCUUCUUCAUGAAUUCCUUUGCUCAUCUGUGUAAUGCUCAAUAAAUGUAAAUUGAACCCUGAA
rnacentral:lncRNA from 14 species